CAACACACUAACCAACCUCCCAAGUACAAAGCAUACCAAUAUAUUUUGUGGGUUGUGGCACUCGUCUUGCUGUUAGUUGGGUUUGUGAUUUCACUGGUGAUGCUUUUCAAAGGGAAGAACGGGAACGAUGGCUGCCAUUGGUGCCACUACCUGAACUGCGUGCCAACAUCCAAGUGGAAGUGUAACACCUAGACACCUCAGUUUUCUGUUACACUCGGGGGCAAAAAUGUAGUAUCCAGAUUUACAAGACCAUUCUCUAUGUUUGUUUGUCUGUAGAUAUGAACAAGUUCUUUGUCGUUUACUGGUUUUGAGUUUCCUUGCCUAUGUAAACUGCUUCGUUGAGCGUUCUAUGUUU